AAAAGCGCCUGUCACAACUAAAUGAUGUGAGCAGCUCGCCUGUGAGAAGGAGCCAAACUUACCUGACUUCAGCUCUUGACCAAAAAAAAGAAACCCGACGACUUUGCUGCUGAGCUGAAACUGCUAAUUUCUGGGACCAGCCUUUUUUUGGCUGUGAACUGGAUGGAUGAAUGGCUUGUCUCGCACAAAUGACAAAAAGCCCCUGCCUUAAUCUCCAUCGCCAAAAUAACCCCUCAUCUCAUUCUGCUCCUGCUAGUCCUUCAAAAGAAGGUGCUCUACACAAACUCAAGUUUUGCAUCUGUAUCAUAAAUACCACAUGCACAAUAAUGUACACAUGUUGUUUAUGAUGUUGAAUUAAAGCUUAUAAAAUCC